rnacentral:rRNA from 1 species
UAUGUGAUCGUCUCUCGCAUAUCAAUAAGCGGAGGAAAAGAAACUAACAAGGAUUCCCUUAGUAACGGCGAGUGAAGCGGGAAGAGCUCAAAUUUGAAAUCUUCAAGGUUUUACCUUGACGAAUUGUAGUUUAAAGAAGUGUUUUCUGUUGAAGUUUUGGUAAAAGUUCUUUGGAAUAGGACAUCAUAGAGGGUGAGAAUCCCGUAUUUGACCAUUAUUUUCAGCUGUGUGAUACACUUUCAAAGAGUCGGAUUGUUUGGGAAUGCAGUCCAAAAUGGGUGGUAAAUUUCAUCUAAAGCUAAAUAUUGGCGAGAGACCGAUAGCGAACAAGUACCGUGAGGGAAAGAUGAAAAGAACUUUGAAAAGAGAGUUAAACAGUACGUGAAAUUGUCAAAAGGGAAGCGUUUGACACCAGUGUUGUUUUCUCGAGAAUCAAUUAAAAAGAGUUUGAUUUUGUUGUGUAUUGACCUUAACAGCUUGCAUUUCAACUUUUCUUGCUUUUUUUAAUGCACUUUUCGUUUAACAAGUCAACAUCAGUUUCUUUUGUUGUAAAAAGGUCAUUGGAAGGUGGCUUUCUUUUCGGAGAAAGUGUUUAUAGCCUUUGACUCCUGCAAUCGGAGAGACUGAGGUCUGCAGCGUAGAUCCUUCGGGGUUAGAUACAUUUGUGCUAAGUUAUAGCUUUUUAUAGACGACUUGUUGACUAUGAUUAGUCUUGUAGCUUACUCGCUUAGUGCUAUUUUACCUACGCUUAGGAUGUUGAAGAUGUAGCACAUCAU